ensembl:misc_RNA Metazoa_SRP Metazoan signal recognition particle RNA
GCCAGGUGUGGUGGUGUGUGCCUGUGGUCCCAGCUACAUAGGAGGCUGAGGUGGGAGGAUUCCUUGAGACCAGGAGGUUGGGGCUGCAGUGAGCUGUGAUCAUGCCACUGCACUCCAGCCUGGGCAACAAAGUGAGACCCUGUCUCUA